AGGCACAGCAACUGCCGUUGUGAGAGCAGGAAGAACAGGUUUCUGCAAAAUAAGCUUAACUCUGUUCUUUGCUUUUUAGUUUUUUUUAAAACUUAUUAGAGAACAGAAAAAUUUCUCAAGAUAUCGUAUCUGACCAAUAAAGCGGAAGGCAGUUUUUCUCAUCCAGAGCAACAAAAUGUCCACACUUGCUCCUAUUCAAAUCUCCUUUAGAAUGGCUGUAAAUGUGCGAAGCUGUGAGGAAAAGAAAUUAAAUCUCCAGUCUGAAGAGCAAACUGGCUAUAUCAACUCUUGAUGAACACUAUUGUGUUAUCAGGAGAAGGAACUUUGACACGCAGAACUGAAUAAAAAAGGCUGGAUAUUUAAAUUAUGUUAUAUAACUCCAGGAAACAAGUUAUCUAUUAAUCUAAUGCCACCAAAAUCCAAGCACAGUGCUAGAGGUUGAUGAAGGGAGUGCUUCAUAAAAUGUGUUACUGCCAAGCUGCACAGGGGAUUGGGGUUUGAGCCAUUUAGCUGUACAGGCUUACAGUCCAUAUUAUCCUGUUGCCCAAUAUUUGUUUGUCUUUUUUUGUUUUUAUAAGAAACUCUGGUUCCCUCCCGCACUCUAAUAACAUCAGUGCCUCUAAGUUUGAACUCUGCUUUGUGUUAGUGCCUUUGAAUGGACAAACUAUGUGUACAAUAAGUAGGUGAUCCCUUUAGAAAUCUGAUGACAGUACAAGUGUGAAUGUUAAGUCAGUUUAUUAUCUUUUUAAUCGCAGUUGGUUUCAGCAAACAUGACCUUUGAGACUGUCUAUUGUAAAGGUCACAAUUACAAUAGAGCCAAACCCUUCAGAGACAGUUUGAAUACCAGUAGCAUCUAUUCACACGAUACAUUCUAUCAGGUAGUAGUCAUUACUCCACAGACAGUGUAAAGCAGGUUUGAAUAAUUAUGUCUGGUUGUUUUUAGAGUUCAAUUAUGAUUGCAUUUACAAACAAUACAUUCAUUAUUUUAAUUACGGUAAUUUACUGUCAACAGUGGCACCAGAAAACUUUUUAUCCUACCAAUAACUAGAAUCACUUCCUGAAAGCACCGUUACCAGUAAGGCGCACAAUUUAGUUAUUUUUAUGUUGUACAUUGACAAAAAUAGAUUUUGGAUGCUGGUAAAGAUUCUUAGUCAUCCAAGUAAUAGUUGUUCCAAAAAAAGUUAAAAAAGUUGAAAAGCAAACCACUGGACUUUGUUUUGCAUGUUUGAAGAUGUUCCGCUUCCCAUCCAGGAAGCUUUUUCAAUUCAAAAUGUCUGGAUAAGCGUUGAGUUCCAAUAUUUACAGAGUAGCCCAACAAAAGCCUUAUUAUAUCUCAGAAAACAUGCAAAUUGAACCAAAAGAACAGGUCUGCCCCUUAAUGUUGAGGAGUCGUUGAGGUCCUGGUUUGUACGGAAAUACCUGUGUAAUACCUAUAUGUAAUACCUGAUACUGGCCUAUGCCUCUCAAAAGGCAUUUUCAGCCUGGCUGACCAGGCAAACAAUAGAUGCUUUAGAUAAAUGGUAAAUGGCAUGUACUUAUAUAG